UGUCGAUCCCCGUGUUACAGAACUGGGUCCACUGCCUGGCACGCAGCAAGCCAGAUGCUGAAAUCCUGAAGUUUGCAGCAGAGAAAGAAUUUAUUCACCAGGCAGUCAAGCGAGGAGACGGAAGAACAAGGUAAAAACUCUUGAGAGUCACUUGGACUGCAAGGAGAUCAAACCAGUCAAUCCUAAAGGAAAUCAGUCCUGACUGAUUGGAAGGACUGAUGCUGAAGCUGAAACUCCAAUCCUUAGGCCACCUGAUGCAAAGAACUGACACAUUGGAAAGACGCUGAUGCUGGGAAAGAUUGAAGGCAGGAGGAGAAGGGGACGACAGAGGAUGAGAUGGUUGGAUGGCAUCACCAACUCGAUGGACAUGAGUUUGAGCAAGCUCUGGGAGUUGGUGAUGGACAGGGAAGCCUGGCAUGUUGCAGUCCAUGGGGUCGCAAAGAGUCAGACACAACUGAGCAACUGAACCGAACUGAAAGACGGUGUUUAAGGGAGUGGCUUAGGCACUUUUGGGG
ensembl:lncRNA